rnacentral:lncRNA from 1 species
AAGGGACCCUUCAUGUUCCUGCUAAAGACAAUCAAAAAAAACCCUAGAGAGCUAGAAGCUACAGUAGCAGCCCCUCUUCAUCCUUGCCACCCUCACCUUGCUGGAAACCACCAAACCAGCAGUAGCUCCCCAAAAACCAGACCCUUAACCACGAGUUGACCCUUUCUUCUCCAGCAAAAAACCCUAAAACAAAAAUGAAAAAAUGCCUAAGAACAAAAAGGAGAAGGAACAGUCGUUUCUUUUAGGAGCAAAAACCUUUCUUCUUCACGAACAUUAGCCAUUUUCGAUCUUUCUUCAACUCCAAAGAGAGCCAGCAACCAUGCUUCUUCGAACAAAGCUUCAGCCGCAUGAGAUGGUAUAAUCUCCUUAUUACCGGCAAGGGCAAACCCAUUCGCUGCUUCUGCUGCUUCCCAAUCACAGCAGCUCACCGGAAUCAAAAUGACCAUCCCUCACAUCGAACACACAACAACCAGCGACUCCUCUCUCGUUCUUUCUUAAAAUAGAAGAUAUAUAAUUAAAAAAACCUAAAUGGUAGAGAAUAAGAUUCUGGAUUAGAAGCUGUGAAUCUCAGAUUUUGUUUUUUCUUUUAAUAAAAAGCUCUAAAAACGAAAAAUCAAAGACCAAAACUAGAAGAAAAUGAGUUUCGAUGUUCGUCAGGGUUCACUUCGCUAGGCUUCUCAUUUUUCUGGGCUUUAAAAGUUGUUUGUGAGUUUGAAAAGCCAUGGUUUACUGUUGAAUUCUGUUAAAUCCAAAUUAGCCAAACUCCUCGUUGAUUGCUAGGGAUUUUGACGUGUUUCAUGCUCCUUCUUGCUUACGCUUUGAUUAUAAAUUCUUGCAAAAUAAUCCCAAAAGGUUCAUAAGUUGUGCUUGAUUGCAGGUUUGAUCAACAAAGAAAGGAGAUGUCAAAGAUCGGCUCAAAAAGAGUGAAACAUGCACACGUACCAAAGACAAGACAACUCAGGACAAACAGGCCUAGUGCGACACUUUGUGCAAUCCGCACUAAAGAGAUUCAGAGUCCUGGAAUUUAAGACAUCAAAGUAGUGCGGCCACAGUACAUAUUGUGCGGUCUGCAUUGAAGACACCACGGCUACACUCCAUUUUAUGCGGUCCGCGAAAGCAAACUUCAGAGAGAUGUCAAGUGCGUAGCUUCAAGUCUAUGCGGUCCGCGGUCGUGUUUGUGCGGACCGUUCCUGAUGCCUCCGCGCACACAGUCCAUUCUGUACGGUCCGCGGAGCCUGAGUUCAGAGAGUUGAUUUUUCAAAGUCAAGAGCCUAGUGAGGCCGCACACCAUUUUGUGCGGUCCGCACUGACCCUGCAAGGGCAUUUUUUUCCAGUUUUUCCAACUUAGUAUAAAUAAAGCUUUUUUCCAUUUUUAGGGUAUCGGCAAUUUCCAUACUUGAGCUACGCUCGUGAAAAGCUAUUUUGUAGCCAUUUUGGGCAUUUUAACCUAGUUCUAACGAUAGAAUCUCU